rnacentral:rRNA from 1 species
CCGUGAGGGAAAGGCGAAAAGAACCCCGGCGAGGGGAGUGAAAAAGAACCUGAAACCGUGUACGUACAAGCAGUGGGAGCCUCUUAAUGGGGUGACUGCGUACCUUUUGUAUAAUGGGUCAGCGACUUAUAUUCUGUAGCAAGGUUAACCGAAUAGGGGAGCCGAAGGGAAACCGAGUCUUAACUGGGCGCUAAGUUGCAGGGUAUAGACCCGAAACCCGGUGAUCUAGCCAUGGGCAGGUUGAAGGUUGGGUAACACUAACUGGAGGACCGAACCGACUAAUGUUGAAAAAUUAGCGGAUGACUUGUGGCUGGGGGUGAAAGGCCAAUCAAACCGGGAGAUAGCUGGUUCUCCCCGAAAGCUAUUUAGGUAGCGCCUCGUGAAUUCAUCUCCGGGGGUAGAGCACUGUUUCGGCAAGGGGGUCAUCCCGACUUACCAACCCGAUGCAAACUGCGAAUACCGGAGAAUGUUAUCACGGGAGACACACGGCGGGUGCUAACGUCCGUCGUGAAGAGGGAAACAACCCAGACCGCCAGCUAAGGUCCCAAAGUCAUGGUUAAGUGGGAAACGAUGUGGGAAGGCCCAGACAGCCAGGAUGUUGGCUUAGAAGCAGCCAUCAUUUAAAGAAAGCGUAAUAGCUCACUGGUCGAGUCGGCCUGCGCGGAAGAUGUAACGGGGCUAAACCAUGCACCGAAGCUGCGGCAGCGACACUAUGUGUUGUUGGGUAGGGGAGCGUUCUGUAAGCCUGUGAAGGUGGCCUGUGAGGGUUGCUGGAGGUAUCAGAAGUGCGAAUGCUGACAUAAGUAACGAUAAAGCGGGUGAAAAGCCCGCUCGCCGGAAGACCAAGGGUUCCUGUCCAACGUUAAUCGGGGCAGGGUGAGUCGACCCCUAAGGCGAGGCCGAAAGGCGUAGUCGAUGGGAAACAGGUUAAUAUUCCUGUACUUGGUGUUACUGCGAAGGGGGGACGGAGAAGGCUAUGUUGGCCGGGCGACGGUUGUCCCGGUUUAAGCGUGUAGGCUGGUUUUCCAGGCAAAUCCGGAAAACCAAGGCUGAGGCGUGAUGACGAGGCACUACGGUGCUGAAGCGACAAAUGCCCUGCUUCCAGGAAAAGCCUCUAAGCAUCAGGUAACAUCAAAUCGUACCCCAAACCGACACAGGUGGUCAGGUAGAGAAUACCAAGGCGCUUGAGAGAACUCGGGUGAAGGAACUAGGCAAAAUGGUGCCGUAACUUCGGGAGAAGGCACGCUGAUAUGUAGGUGAAGCGACUUGCUCGUGGAGCUGAAAUCAGUCGAAGAUACCAGCUGGCUGCAACUGUUUAUUAAAAACACAGCACUGUGCAAACACGAAAGUGGACGUAUACGGUGUGACGCCUGCCCGGUGCCGGAAGGUUAAUUGAUGGGGUUAGCGGUAACGCGAAGCUCUUGAUCGAAGCCCCGGUAAACGGCGGCCGUAACUAUAACGGUCCUAAGGUAGCGAAAUUCCUUGUCGGGUAAGUUCCGACCUGCACGAAUGGCGUAAUGAUGGCCAGGCUGUCUCCACCCGAGACUCAGUGAAAUUGAACUCGCUGUGAAGAUGCAGUGUACCCGCGGCAAGACGGAAAGACCCCGUGAACCUUUACUAUAGCUUGACACUGAACAUUGAGCCUUGAUGUGUAGGAUAGGUGGGAGGCUUUGAAGUGUGGACGCCAGUCUGCAUGGAGCCGACCUUGAAAUACCACCCUUUAAUGUUUGAUGUUCUAACGUUGGCCCCUAAUCGGGGUUGCGGACAGUGUCUGGUGGGUAGUUUGACUGGGGCGGUCUCCUCCUAAAGAGUAACGGAGGAGCACGAAGGUUGGCUAAUCCUGGUCGGACAUCAGGAGGUUAGUGCAAUGGCAUAAGCCAGCUUGACUGCGAGCGUGACGGCGCGAGCAGGUGCGAAAGCAGGUCAUAGUGAUCCGGUGGUUCUGAAUGGAAGGGCCAUCGCUCAACGGAUAAAAGGUACUCCGGGGAUAACAGGCUGAUACCGCCCAAGAGUUCAUAUCGACGGCGGUGUUUGGCACCUCGAUGUCGGCUCAUCACAUCCUGGGGCUGAAGUAGGUCCCAAGGGUAUGGCUGUUCGCCAUUUAAAGUGGUACGCGAGCUGGGUUUAGAACGUCGUGAGACAGUUCGGUCCCUAUCUGCCGUGGGCGCUGGAGAACUGAGGGGGGCUGCUCCUAGUACGAGAGGACCGGAGUGGACGCAUCACUGGUGUUCGGGUUGUCAUGCCAAUGGCACUGCCCGGUAGCUAAAUGCGGAAGAGAUAAGUGCUGAAAGCAUCUAAGCACGAAACUUGCCCCGAGAUGAGUUCUCCCUGAGACUUAGAGUCUCCUGAAGGAACGUUGAAGACGACGACGUUGAUAGGCCGGGUGUGUAAGCGCAGCGAUGCGUUGAGCUAACCGGUACUAAUGAACCGUGAGGCUUAACCUUACAACGCCGAAG